AUUGUGUUUCUAGCUUCUAUAGGCAGUGAGACAGAAAAAAAUAAAUUAAAUUGAAAUCUCCAGGUGUUAGCCAAGGCUGGUACAUAUCAGGUUGGCAACGGCCCAAUUUAUUUCUCCAACCAGCUUUAGGUGCAUAUAUAGAGAGAGAGAGAGAGAGAGAGAGAGAGAGAGAGAGAGGCACACACACACACUCAGGCAAGAAUAGGAGCCCCAGACGCUGGAGGGAGCCUCUCCUGGGAUAGUGAGAAUGGCUAUCAGGACUCUCUCUUCUAGGUCAAAGCCACAGAGAAGGUCUACUUACCUUUCAGCUGCUCUUCAAGGGGGACUGGAUGGUGAGCAGGGCCCCACAGUCCGCCCUUUCUCUGGGCUGCCCACUCGACCUCCGCCAGCUUGGAGGGCGGCCCGCCGGUGUGUGGGGUGGACCUUGAGGGCCACCCGGGCCGCCUGGAUCUGUAGCCCAGGCCAGAGCCCAUAGCAUACAGGUGCGGCCUCUGCCUGUCAGAGGCCCUCGCCUGACGCCAAAGCCCGCCUUCCUUGCCAUAGCCAAUCCUCCUCAGGGCCAGCCAGGCCUGCAGGCCUCGGGGCCAGGAAUGGUCUCUCCGAUUUGCAAAUCCCAAAGCGGGCGCCUUCCCCGAACCAGCGUGCGCCCCGGGGACGCCUUGGGACGCGCAGUUUGGACAGAAGCAGCCAUAACGUGCCAGGCCGCCUGUGCAACCAGUCUCCAUGGCGCUGGGGGUAGGGGGAGGACCCGAGUCUAGUCGGGCUUCCAGCUCCUAUCAGGGGUGGCCAAGGCGGGGGAGGUUCCCGACAGGCCCUGGGAGGCCGCCCCUCAGGUCCUCCCUUGCCCCCCUCUGCUCGGCCUGCUUGGGAAUCUCUGAGGGGCCCGCGCAGCAGUCGCGCCAGGCUGCACGACGCGGGGCUGCGGCUGGCGUCGGUCCCGGCGACGGCCACAGCGUGGCAGCAGCGAGCGCCCAGCGCGGUCGCAAUAAAUAAUCUGCCCGCGGCAGCCGCAGUCAGGCAGCCCGCGGCCCUGCGACGCAAACGCGCAGCUUUAUCCUCCCUGAGUGCACCCACAGCGCCGGUGGACGUCCCAAACAUCUACAGCCCCUUCUUAAUUUUCUAAUGCACACCAAGGUAUUAUCUUAAGGUGGAAAAACAACAACAACGACCAGAACCACAGAACAAACAAAAAGAACUCGAGCCCAGAACCUCAGGAUCCUUUCUGGUCGCAGUCCCAGGAAGCUCCCGGGGCAAAUCUGGCCGACGCGCACCCAGGCCAAGCAACGGUCUGUGCCACCGCUCCACAUAAAGUCAGUGCCCACGGUACCCUCCGUGCCUCCCGGGCGGCUUCACAGUCCCCUCCCGGCUCGCGGAAAGUGGGGCGCGCGGUCGGCGGCCCGCUGCGCCGAUGUGGGGGUGGUGGGGUCCCCCUAUCGCCCAGACGCGGUUUGCGUCCUUCUUUCAACCUUAGCUGCGGGCCCCUGCCACUCUCAAUAACACCAGCACAUUCUCUGCACCGAAACUUCCCGCCAAGCAACACCCAGCCAAUUAACCCCAUCCUCUCCUCCAACACAGAGUUCCACCCACGCACCUAGUCCCUCUCCCCGCGCUUCAGACACAUCUGUCAUCGGAAAACCGCGUGAAAGGAAGCAGGCAAUCAGCAGAAGAACCUGGCCGAAUUAGUAAGUUUUUGUUUGUUUGUUUUUUUUCCCCCUCAUUCUACCUUUCUCUCCAGAAACCGAGUCCCUCAGAAUAGAAGGUGCUGUGUUGACACUAAUAAAAAAGCAGGUCGAUUAAUUCACUUUGCCCUCACCUCUUCCCACCUCCCCAGGUCGGGAACUGUCUUCAAUUGUUGGGAAAUUCAACCGAGCCAACUGGGUCAUGAAUGAAAAAAAAAAAAAAAUCCAAACCCGGGAGAUUGGCAAGGAACGCGGAGGGCAGGGCCACUUCUUUUUGGGCUCGGCAAGGUCGCUGGGGAAGAGGGGAGAGACCUCAGUGCUCCUGCCCCAUGCCAGGGCGCUGUGCCACUGAAAGGAGGCUGGCAUUCACUGCCAUGGUGAGCAAGAGAGAGGAGAGAGGGAGAGUGUGUGUGUGUGUGCGCGCGCGCGCGCACGUGUGAAGGGGGGCAAGUGUGAACGGUGAGUGUGGGCGAGGGUGAGUAUGCCCCUCUUCAAAGCCGCCCCAGUGCCCUCUCCCACCGCCGCCGGCGCCGGCUGCCAUCUCACCACCUUUGCUCCUGUCUCCCCACAUGUCUCACCUUCAGAUGGCGGCUCCCAGAAGCUCCUGCCCCUCUGACAGCUGUCGCUUGGGCAGCCGGGGAGACGAAUUGUCCUCCUUCCUGGUGCCAGAGGACGCAGGAAAUUAGCCAGGUUGCGAGUUGCGAAGCGGCCGCCGCGGCGCCGGGAACUGGACGCGCCCCACCUCCAGCGGGAGCGGCCGGGCCGGGCCGGGCCGGGGCCUCGUCUCGCUCGCCAUCGCCGGACAAAGCGCAGCCAAGCCCGGCUGGAAGGCAGAGCUCCGAAGCAGGCAGGACGGAGCGGAGCAAAAGAAUGCGGCUCUAUUCUCGCAAGGGAAAUUAUAAAAAAGUUCAUGUUCACGGUUCCCAUCCACAUGACCGACAGCGGCCAAUGGAAGGGCCGAACAACUCAUAAAGUUGUAUUGCAAAGUUGUAAAUUUUCAUAAACAACAACGGAUUU
rnacentral:lncRNA from 1 species